GAUGAAGAACGUAGCGAAAUGCGAUAAGUAGUGUGAAUUGCAGAAUUCAGUGAAUCAUCGAAUCUUUGAACGCACAUUGCGCCCCUUGGUAUUCCAUGGGGCAUGCCUGUUCGAGCGUCAUUUGUACCUUCAAGCUCUGCUUGGUGUUGGGUGUUUGUCUCGCCUCUGCGUGUAGACUCGCCUCAAAACAAUUGGCAGCCGGCGUAUUGAUUUCGGAGCGCAGUACAUCUCGCGCUUUGCACUCAUAACGACGACGUCCAAAAGUACAUUUUUACACUCUUGACCUCGGAUCAGGUAGGGAUACCCGCUGCACUUAAGCAUAUCAAUAAGCGGAGGA
rnacentral:misc_RNA from 1 species